rnacentral:lncRNA from 1 species
UCUACACCGGCCAAAUACGGACGACCGCUGGGCCAAUUGUGCGCCGCCCUAUGGGACUCCCAAUCACGCCCGGGUUGUGAUACCCUGGUUUGAAUCAAGGUUGUGUCUGUAGUGACGGCUCAAGCAUUGAGAUGCAGGGGCCUGUUACAUAGAGGUUGGAGCAGGGGGCCUGUUACACAGAGGUUGGAGCAGGGGCCUGUUACAUAGAGGUCGGAGCAGGGGCCUGUUACAUAGAGGUUGGAGCAGGGGCCUGUUACAUAGAGGUUGGAGUCAGGGGCCUGUUACAUACAGAGGUUGGAGCAGGGGCCUGUUACAUACAGAGGUUGGAGCAGGGGCCUGUUACAUACAGAGGUUGGAGCAGGGCCCUGUUACAUAGAGGUUGAAGCAGGGGCCUGUUACAUACAGAGGUUGGAGCAGGGGCCUGUUACAUACAGAGGUUGGAGCAGGGGCCUGUUACAUACAGAGGUUGGAGCAGGGGCCUGUUACAUACAUAUAGAGGUUGGAGUCGGGGGCCUGGUACAUAGAGGUUGGAGCAGGGGCCUGUUACAUACAUAUAGAGGUUGGAGUCGGGGGCCUG